AAGUCGUAACAAGGUUUCCGUAGGUGAACCUGCGGAAGGAUCAUUAAUUGAUCAAAAAGAAAAAUUGGCAUCAAUCUCCUUCUCUCGGGAAAGAGAAUGAAGCCUCUUUUUUUUCCACUGUGAACUGUCUUGUACUGUUGUAUUAUAUUUUUUUUUAAAUGAAAAAUCUUUUUUCCUUUGCGGAAUCAAGAUAUAAUAAUUUAAAGACAACUUUCAGCAAUGGAUCUCUUGGCUCUU
rnacentral:misc_RNA from 1 species